rnacentral:rRNA from 1 species
UCGGGAAUUUUGGGCAAUGGGCGAAAGCCUGACCCAGCAACGCCGCGUGAGGGAUGAAGUAUUUCGGUAUGUAAACCUCGAAAGAAUGGGAAGAAUAAAUGACGGUACCAUUUAUAAGCUCCGGCUAACUACGUGCCAGCAGCCGCGGUAAUACGGAGGGAGCAAGCGUUGUUCGGAUUUACUGGGCGUAAAGGGCGCGUAGGCGGUGCGGUAAGUCACUUGUGAAAUCUCUGAGCUUAACUCAGAACGGCCAAGUGAUACUGCUGUGCUAGAGUGCGGAAGAGGCAACCGGAAUUCUUGGUGUAGCGGUGAAAUGCGUAGAUGUCAAGAGGAACACCUGAGGCGAAGACGGGUUGCUGGGCCGACACUGACGCUGAUGCGCGAAAGCCAGGGGAGCAAACG